AUUCCAGCUCCAAUAGCGUAUAUUAAAGUUGUUGUGGUUAAAAAGCUCGUAGUUGGAUUUCGGCGGGCAUAGGUUGGUUUGAAUUGCUUCAAUACUGACUUUUUUACCCGUGUGUUUUGCCAGAAUUUAACGGGUGAUCUUCGCCGAUUGUCUGUUAGAACUGACAGGUUUACUUUGAAAAAAUUAGAGUGCUCAAAGCAAGCUUGAUUGCUUGAAUAUUCGUGCAUGGAAUAAUAGAAUAGGAAGUCGUUUCUAUUUUGUUGGUUUUCGGAAAUCGACUUAAUGAUUAAUAGGGACAGUCGGGGGCAUUUGUAUUCAAACGACAGAGGUGAAAUUCUUGGACCGUUUGAAGACAAACUACUGCGAAAGCAUUUGCCAAGAAUGUUUUCAUUA
rnacentral:rRNA from 1 species